UACCAAAACUACUUUCAUUCUUUAUCAAAAAAAAGUACAUACAUUCAAAAGACUGUUGAAUCAUAAAAUUACAAUCCUUGAAGAUAUGGAAGUUAGAAGCCUUAUUUAAGCUAAGUGGGUUCAUCACACAAGCGGCUGAGGACUAUACUCCUCAUCCAUGUGAUCUUCGCCCUCCUCAUCAGAAUCUUCAUCAUUUCCAGAACCAGCGAUCUUGGGAGGUGGUGAGGACUCGGCAUCAAUAGCCUUGGCAUCCUUCUUCUUCUUAGGAGUUGGAGUGGCAGAAGGAAUUUUGGAAGAAGAGGAGGGAACUACCUUAAAGGCUGAGUCCUUGGUAGGCCUUAGCUCCCUCUCCAUCCGAACUGUCAGAGCUCUCCUCUUUGGUGCCUUCAUCUUCAGAAGAGGACUCAUCAUCAUCAGAAUCUUCAUAGGACGCUGAAGUCUUUCCAGGUCCCUCCUCUCCAGCAAGUUUGUCGGCAAA
rnacentral:lncRNA from 1 species